AUAAACGCUGGCGGCGUGCAUAAAACAUGUAAGUCGAACGGGUGGAGGCCGCAAGGCCGAAGCCAGUGGCGGACGGCUGAGUAACGCGUAGGUGACUUGCCCAAAAGUGGGGAAUAACGAUUCGAAAGAAUCGCUAAUACCGCAUGUGGUUGUGCGUAUAAUCGCGUGCAACUAAAGCCCGCAAGGGCGCUUAUGGAGAGGCCUGCGUCCGAUUAGCUAGUUGGUGGGGUAACGGCCUACCAAGGCUCCGAUCGGUAGCUGAUCUGAGAGGAUGAUCAGCCAGACUGGGACUGAGACACGGCCCAGACUCCUACGGGAGGCAGCAGUUAGGAAUUUUGCACAAUGGGGGAAACCCUGAUGCAGCAACGCCGCGUGGAUGAAGAAGGCCUUCGGGUCGUAAAAUCCUUUUCAACGGGAAGACACGGACGGUACCGUUGGAAUAAGCAUCGGCUAACUACGU
rnacentral:rRNA from 1 species